GGCCCAUUUGUUUUAAAGUGUUUUUUUGUUAUUCUUCUUAAUUUUUAAAAAUUUCCAGUUUUGCUUCAUUAAUGAUUCUUAGCUGAAGCUAAGUUGUGAUCAGAGAAGAUACUUUUUAUGAUUUCCUGAGAUGCAUUUUUUUUGGCUGAACAUCUGGUGUACCCUUGGGAAUGCUGCACAUGAACUUCAGAAGAAGGCAUAUCCUGCUGUUGCUCAGUGGAGGUGUUUGGUUUGCCUGCCCUUGCCCAAGGUGAUUUCAACUAGUAAACUGACAGUUGCUGUCCUGAGAAAGUUUGGAGGUCCCAGGGAUCGAACUCACGACCACAGGCCUGCAAGGGAGGUGCUUCUGCUGCUGAGCUAAAUCCCCAGCCCCUUUAACAGAAAUUUUUAAAAGUGAUUUUAUUUAGUAAAGGCCAAUCCCAUUUUCUAUUUCAUUUUGUGAAUAUUUUGGACACAUUUUGCCUUUAAAUAAAGUUUUAAAAUUUCAUGUAUGUGGUCAAAUUUAUUCUUUUAUUAUUCUUUUAAUGAUUGUAAGAUUUGUAAUGAUGUUUUCUUUUUUUUCCUGAUACUUAUAUUUCCCAUUUCCUUUCUUCUCAAUCAUUAGUGCUAGAGCUUAUCAGUUUUAUUUUUAACUUUCAAAGAAUCACCUCCUGGUUUUAUUAAUGUUCUCUAUUAUCUAUUUUCCUAUUUCAUUGACUU